CAGGAAUACAUGAUCAGAUGUCGACCAACAGUACAGCUAGAUGAAGAUAUAAAUUUAUUCAAAGAAAUAAUGGGACAAUGAAUGCUAAAUUUGCUAAGAAGAAGACUGCCAAUUUACACACCAUUUUAUACAGUAUGAUCUGGUGAACAAAAUGCCUCAAUGCAGCCAGUUCUGGAGCUUUGGCUAGACUAUGAACAGUAGACAUCAAAAGAUGAUCAUCUGAAGGGCCACAAUUGUUUAAAGCACUGGUC
rnacentral:lncRNA from 1 species